rnacentral:rRNA from 1 species
UACGUAGGGUGCGAGCGUUGUCCGGAAUUAUUGGGCGUAAAGAGCGUGUAGGCGGCCAGUAGGUCGGUUGUGAAAACUGGAGGCUCAACCUUCAGACGUCGACCGAAACCAUCUGGCUAGAGUCCGGGAGAGGAGAGUGGAAUUCCUGGUGUAGCGGUGAAAUGCGCAGAUAUCAGGAAGAACACCCGUGGCGAAAGCGGCUCUCUGGAACGGUACUGACGCUGAGACGCGAAAGCGUGGGAGCGAACAGG